UGCAGUUGCACCUGGGGGCUCUGCUCUCUCAGCAACUGCCGCGCCUUCUGCACUUUGGUAGAACCAGGCAGUGUAAACGUCAUCACACCUGGCCUCAUCAAUCAAAGUGCAG